rnacentral:siRNA from 1 species
ACGACGACCCAUUUGUCUCCGC